rnacentral:rRNA from 1 species
GUCUGAAUAUGGGGGGACCAUCCUCCAAGGCUAAAUACUCCUGACUGACCGAUAGUGAACCAGUACCGUGAGGGAAAGGCGAAAAGAACCCCGGCGAGGGGAGUGAAAAAGAACCUGAAACCGUGUACGUACAAGCAGUGGGAGCACGCUUAGGCGUGUGACUGCGUACCUUUUGUAUAAUGGGUCAGCGACUUAUAUUCUGUAGCAAGGUUAACCGAAUAGGGGAGCCGAAGGGAAACCGAGUCUUAACUGGGCGUUAAGUUGCAGGGUAUAGACCCGAAACCCGGUGAUCUAGCCAUGGGCAGGUUGAAGGUUGGGUAACACUAACUGGAGGACCGAACCGACUAAUGUUGAAAAAUUAGCGGAUGACUUGUGGCUGGGGGUGAAAGGCCAAUCAAACCGGGAGAUAGCUGGUUCUCCCCGAAAGCUAUUUAGGUAGCGCCUCGUGAAUUCAUCUCCGGGGGUAGAGCACUGUUUCGGCAAGGGGGUCAUCCCGACUUACCAACCCGAUGCAAACUGCGAAUACCGGAGAAUGUUAUCACGGGAGACACACGGCGGGUGCUAACGUCCGUCGUGAAGAGGGAAACAACCCAGACCGCCAGCUAAGGUCCCAAAGUCAUGGUUAAGUGGGAAACGAUGUGGGAAGGCCCAGACAGCCAGGAUGUUGGCUUAGAAGCAGCCAUCAUUUAAAGAAAGCGUAAUAGCUCACUGGUCGAGUCGGCCUGCGCGGAAGAUGUAACGGGGCUAAACCAUGCACCGAAGCUGCGGCAGCGACGCUGAUGCGUUGUUGGGUAGGGGAGCGUUCUGUAAGCCUGUGAAGGUGUGCUGUGAGGCAUGCUGGAGGUAUCAGAAGUGCGAAUGCUGACAUAAGUAACGAUAAAGCGGGUGAAAAGCCCGCUCGCCGGAAGACCAAGGGUUCCUGUCCAACGUUAAUCGGGGCAGGGUGAGUCGACCCCUAAGGCGAGGCCGAAAGGCGUAGUCGAUGGGAAACAGGUUAAUAUUCCUGUACUUGGUGUUACUGCGAAGGGGGGACGGAGAAGGCUAUGUUGGCCGGGCGACGGUUGUCCCGGUUUAAGCGUGUAGGCUGGUUUUCCAGGCAAAUCCGGAAAAUCAAGGCUGAGGCGUGAUGACGAGGCACUACGGUGCUGAAGCAACAAAUGCCCUGCUUCCAGGAAAAGCCUCUAAGCAUCAGGUAACAUCAAAUCGUACCCCAAACCGACACAGGUGGUCAGGUAGAGAAUACCAAGGCGCUUGAGAGAACUCGGGUGAAGGAACUAGGCAAAAUGGUGCCGUAACUUCGGGAGAAGGCACGCUGAUAUGUAGGUGAAGCGACUUGCUCGUGGAGCUGAAAUCAGUCGAAGAUACCAGCUGGCUGCAACUGUUUAUUAAAAACACAGCACUGUGCAAACACGAAAGUGGACGUAUACGGUGUGACGCCUGCCCGGUGCCGGAAGGUUAAUUGAUGGGGUCAGCGCAAGCGAAGCUCUUGAUCGAAGCCCCGGUAAACGGCGGCCGUAACUAUAACGGUCCUAAGGUAGCGAAAUUCCUUGUCGGGUAAGUUCCGACCUGCACGAAUGGCGUAAUGAUGGCCAGGCUGUCUCCACCCGAGACUCAGUGAAAUUGAACUCGCUGUGAAGAUGCAGUGUACCCGCGGCAAGACGGAAAGACCCCGUGAACCUUUACUAUAGCUUGACACUGAACAUUGAGCCUUGAUGUGUAGGAUAGGUGGGAGGCUUUGAAGUGUGG